UACGUAGGGUGCAAGCGUUGUCCGGAAUUAUUGGGCGUAAAGAGCUCGUAGGCGGUCUGUCGCGUCUGGUGUGAAAAUCCAGGGCUUAACCCUGGACCUGCAUCGGGUACGGGCAGACUAGAGUGCGGUAGGGGAGAUCGGAAUUCCUGGUGUAGCGGUGAAAUGCGCAGAUAUCAGGAGGAACACCGGUGGCGAAGGCGGGACUCUGGGCCGAUACUGACGCUGGAGGAGCGAAAGCGUGGGGAGCGAACAGGA
rnacentral:rRNA from 1 species